AAUCGUGGCCGACGCUCGCUCAAAGACGAAUUCCAUGAAGGUCGUCCAAAAACAGCCGUUGUGCCAGAAAACAUCGAUGCCGUACGUGAACUGAUAAUGCAAGACCGUCAUGUAACAUACCUUCAGAUAGAGGCAUGCCUAUGCAUUUCUCCCACCAGCAUACAUUCGAUAUUGCAUGAACACCUGGCCGUAAAAAAGGUUUGUUCUC